rnacentral:rRNA from 1 species
CCUACGGGUGGCAGCAGUGGGGAAUAUUGCACAAUGGGCGCAAGCCUGAUGCAGCCAUGCCGCGUGUGUGAAGAAGGCCUUCGGGUUGUAAAGCACUUUCAGCGGGGAGGAAGGCGGUGAGGUUAAUAACCUCAUCGAUUGACGUUACCCGCAGAAGAAGCACCGGCUAACUCCGUGCCAGCAGCCGCGGUAAUACGGAGGGUGCAAGCGUUAAUCGGGAUUACUGGGCGUAAAGCGUACGCAGGCGGUCUGUCAAGUCGGAUGUGAAAUCCCCGGGCUCAACCUGGGAACUGCAUUCGGAAACUGGCAGGCUAGAGUCUUGUAGAGGGGGGUAGAAUUCCGGGGGUAGCGGGGAAAUGCGUAGGGAUCUGGAGGAGUACGGGGGGCGAAGGCGGCCCCCGGGACAAAGACGGACGCUCAGGUGCGAAAGCGUGGGGAGCAAACAGGAUUAGAUACCCAGUAGUC